rnacentral:rRNA from 1 species
AACAUCUAAGUACCCCGAGGAAAAGAAAUCAACCGAGAUUCCGAAAGUAGCGGCGAGCGAAAUUGGACUAGCCCUUAAGCUUUACACGCGUUAGACGAACGGUCUGGAAAGUCCGACGAUACAGGGUGAUAGUCCCGUAGUUGACGACGUGUGUUCAGUGAAAUCGAGUAGGGCGGGACACGUGAUAUCCUGUCUGAAUAUGGGGGGACCAUCCUCCAAGGCUAAAUACUACUGACUGACCGAUAGUGAACCAGUACCGUGAGGGAAAGGCGAAAAGAACCCCUGUGAGGGGAGUGAAAUAGAACCUGAAACCGUGUACGUACAAGCAGUAGGAGCAGGCUUUGUCCUGUGACUGCGUACCUUUUGUAUAAUGGGUCAGCGACUUAUAUUCAGUGGCAAGGUUAACCAUCUAGGGGAGCCGUAGGGAAACCGAGUCUUAACUGGGCGUUCAGUCUCUGGAUAUAGACCCGAAACCAGGUGAUCUAGCCAUGGGCAGGUUGAAGGUUGAGUAACAUCAACUGGAGGACCGAACCGACUAAUGUUGAAAAAUUAGCGGAUGACUUGUGGCUAGGGGUGAAAGGCCAAUCAAACCUGGAGAUAGCUGGUUCUCCCCGAAAGCUAUUUAGGUAGCGCCUCGGACGAAUACUACUGGGGGUAGAGCACUGUUAAGGCUAGGGGGUCAUCCCGACUUACCAACCCUUUGCAAACUCCGAAUACCAGUAAGUACUAUCCGGGAGACACACGGCGGGUGCUAACGUCCGUCGUGGAGAGGGAAACAACCCAGACCGCCAGCUAAGGUCCCAAAUUACUACUAAGUGGGAAACGAUGUGGGAAGGCUCAGACAGCCAGGAUGUUGGCUUAGAAGCAGCCAUCAUUUAAAGAAAGCGUAAUAGCUCACUGGUCGAGUCGGCCUGCGCGGAAGAUGUAACGGGGCUAAGUAGUAAACCGAAGCUGCGGCAAUGUGCUUUUGCACAUUGGGUAGGGGAGCGUUCUGUAAGCGGUUGAAGGUGUGUGGUAACGCAUGCUGGACGUAUCAGAAGUGCGAAUGCUGACAUGAGUAACGAUAAAGGGGGUGAAAAACCUCCUCGCCGGAAGACCAAGGGUUCCUGUCCAACGUUAAUCGGGGCAGGGUAAGUCGACCCCUAAGGCGAGGCCGAAAGGCGUAGUCGAUGGGAAACGGGUUAAUAUUCCCGUACUUCUUACAAUUGCGAUGGGGGGACGGAGAAGGCUAGGUGGGCCUGGCGACGGUUGUCCAGGUUCAAGUGCGUAGGCUUAAGAGUUAGGUAAAUCCGGCUCUUUUUAAGGCUG